AUACGUAGGGAGCGAGCGUUGUCCGGAUUUACUGGGUGUAAAGGGUGCGUAGGCGGGACUGCAAGUCAGACGUGAAAUACCGAGGCUUAACCUCGGGGCUGCGUUUGAAACUGUAGUUCUUGAGAGUCGGAGAGGUAAUCGGAAUUCCUAGUGUAGCGGUGAAAUGCGUAGAUAUUAGGAGGAACACCAGUGGCGAAGGCGGAUUACUGGACGACAACUGACGCUGAUACACGAAAGCGUGGGGAGC
rnacentral:rRNA from 1 species